CAGCACCGCGGGAAUACAGAGGGUGCGAGCGUUAAUCGGAUUUACUGGGCGUAAAGCGUGCGUAGGCGGCUUUUUAAGUCGGAUGUGAAAUCCCUGAGCUUAACUUAGGAAUUGCAUUCGAUACUGGGAAGCUAGAGUAUGGGAGAGGAUGGUAGAAUUCCAGGUGUAGCGGUGAAAUGCGUAGAGAUCUGGAGGAAUACCGAUGGCGAAGGCAGCCAUCUGGCCUAAUACUGACGCUGAGGUACGAAAGCAUGGGGAGCAAACAGGAUUAGAUACCCCAGUAGUCCCUGUCUCUUAUACA
rnacentral:rRNA from 1 species